AUCUGUCACCCUCUGUCCUUCUUUUUUAUUUUGCAUAUACAGCUCACAAUUCUCUGAUGGGCUUGCCUACUCAUUUAGCCCUUCAUGAAGUCCCUGAGCUGCCUUUUUCAUCUGGAGUCUCCAUGCACAACGGUGAAAAGUGCAUCUUUUAUCUCACCUGAGACAGUGUCUUGCUGUAUCACAAAGCCAGAUCCAGUGCUGGGAUCACAGCUUGUUGCAGCCUCCAACUCCUGGGCUCAUGGAAUCCUCUUGCCUCAGCUUCCCUAGCAGCUGGA
rnacentral:lncRNA from 1 species